CUUGUGCCACUAUUAGUUUUCGGGGUGGCGGGCUCAUUUGCCUGCCCGCACCAAAGUGUCGGUUGUAUUUUUCAGUUUUGUUUAAACUUCAGAUAAAACUGUAAACACCAUGGGUUGAGGCCCUUUGUCCUGCUUUUGAGCUGAGAGAGUUCCUUCCUCCCCCCACCUUUUAGUGACCUAGCCCUCUGUCUCAGCACUGUCCUCCCUGGCCCCUCUUCUGAAGACCAGUCCCCUCGGCUGCAAAGUGGAGGUGAGGCCACAAAGGCCCAGAGGGUCCUAUGACUUGUCACGGGUCACAUCGCUACUCCCACGAAGAAGAUGAUGAUACCCUGAAAUGAUCUGCCCGUCCCUAUGGCUUCUCAGGCACCCAGUCAAUAAUUAAUUUGACCAACCAACAUUCUUGGAGAUGCCACUGAAGACCCAGCGCUGGGCCUGUGAGGACACCCAGAGGUUCACAACCUUGUCCGUGUCCUCAAGGAGUUCAGCAUCCACAUGGUGUUUGAGUCACCUUGGAGCUCAGCACGGGCACAGGAGAAAAACAGUACAGGAAAUACUUCCCUCAGUGUCAGCUUGAGCAAAAUACCACCCCUGAUGACAUUUGCCUGUGUCUGGAAAUGUUUACACAGGGAUUGCGCUGUAUGGAGCAUUACACCACAUAAAUUUGCCUUUGCAGGUCGUGUUGUCCUUGCAUGUUUCCAAGGGCUGAGAAAGGCAAGGCAGGGAACAUUCAUGAUGUCCUGCUGUGGGUCAGCGCUGUGCCCGCAGCCUCACAGGUGUUACUGCACCCUCACCACCACCUGGUGGGAAGCAUCAUUAUCCCCACUCUGGUGUGGGGAGCUUGCAGCCCUGAGGAGCACUGAAGUGCUGCAGUUCAGGGCGCUGGAGCUGAGAGGGCAGGUUUGUGGGGGGUGGGGGGGAUUAAGUUAGUAAGGUCGGUCCCAGCUCAUGAAGGACCUCGGGUGCUGGCUAAGGAGUAGGACUUUCUCCUGGAAGCUACAGGAGGACACUGAAGUGUAGCAGCAAAAGUCAUCUGAUCAAAUCUACAGGAAAGCUCUCUGGCAGCUGUAUGAGGGCUGGUGGGGACGAAGGAGGAGGGAUUGCAGAAU